UACGAAGGGUGCAAGCGUUACUCGGAAUUACUGGGCGUAAAGCGUGCGUAGGUGGUUUGUUAAGUCUGCUGUGAAAGCCCCGGGCUCAACCUGGGAAUGGCAGUGGAUACUGGCAAGCUAGAGUGCGGUAGAGGGUAGUGGAAUUCCCGGUGUAGCGGUGAAAUGCGUAGAGAUCGGGAGGAACACCAGUGGCGAAGGCGGCUACCUGGACCAGCACUGACACUCAGGCAGCGAAAGCGUGGGGAGCAAACAGG
rnacentral:rRNA from 1 species